rnacentral:rRNA from 1 species
ACUAACGAGAGUUUGAUCCUGGCUCAGAAUCAACGCUGGCGGCGUGCCUCAGACAUGCAAGUCGAACGCGAAAGUUCCCUUCGGGGGGCGAGUAGAGUGGCGCACGGGUGAGUAACACGUGAGUAAUCUGCCCAUGGGUGGGGAAUAACGCCUCGAAAGAGGCGCUAAUACCGCAUAACGCAGCGGCAUCUUCGGAUGACAGUUGUUAAAGCGGGGGCUGGGAGCAAUCCCACCUCGUGCCUGUGGAGGAGCUCGCGGCGGAUUAGGUAGUUGGUAGGGUAACGGCCUACCAAGCCUGCGAUCCGUAGCCGGCCUGAGAGGGCGGUCGGCCACACUGACACUGACACACGGGUCAGACUCCUACGGGAGGCAGCAGUCGGGAAUUUUGGGCAAUGGGCG